GAUGAACGCUAGCGGCAGGCUUAAUACAUGCAAGUCGUGGGGCAGCAUGAAUGUAGCAAUACAUUUGAUGGCGACCGGCAAACGGGUGCGGAACACGUACACAACCUUCCUAUAAGUGGGGAAUAGCCCAGAGAAAUUUGGAUUAAUACCCCGCAACAUAAUGAUGUGGCAUCACAUUAUUAUUAUAGCUACGGCGCUUAUUGAUGGGUGUGCGGCUGAUUAGAUAGUUGGCGGGGUAACGGCCCACCAAGUCUACGAUCAGUAGCUGAUGUGAGAGCGUCACAAGGCACACGGGGACUGAGAUACGGCCCCGACUCCUACGGGAGGCAGCAGUAAGGAAUAGUGGUCAAUGGACGCAAGUUUGAACCAGCCAUGCCGCGUGAAGGAUUAAGGUCCUCUGGAUUGUAAACUUCUUAUAUCUGGGACGAAAAAAGGCGAUGCUUCGUCACUUGACGGUACCAGAUGCAUAAGCACCGGCUAACUCCGUGCCAGCCGCCGCUGUAAAAC
rnacentral:rRNA from 1 species